UGCCGGGUCGUUCAAUGGUAGGACAUCGCCCUUUGGAGGCGAGUAUUCUAGGUUCGAAUCCUAGCCCGGCAG
rnacentral:tRNA from 1 species